rnacentral:rRNA from 1 species
GAUGAACGCUGGCGGCGUGCCUAAUACAUGCAAGUCGAACGCAUAGCGAAAGGUGCUUGCACCUUUCAAGUGAGUGGCGAACGGGUGAGUAACACGUGGGCAACCUGCCUCAAGGCUGGGGAUAACAUUUGGAAACAGAUGCUAAUACCGAAUAAAACUUAGUGUCGCAUGACACAAAGUUAAAAGGCGCUUCGGCGUCACCUAGAGAUGGAUCCGCGGUGCAUUAGUUAGUUGGUGGGGUAAAGGCCUACCAAGACAAUGAUGCAUAGCCGAGUUGAGAGACUGAUCGGCCACAUUGGGACUGAGACACGGCCCAAACUCCUACGGGAGGCUGCAGUAGGGAAUCUUCCACAGUGGGCGAAAGCCUGAUGGAGCAACGCCGCGUGUGUGAUGAAGGCUUUCGGGUCGUAAAGCACUGUUGUAUGGGAAGAACAGCUAGAAUAGGAAAUGAUUUUAGUUUGACGGUACCGUACCAGAAAGGGACGGCUAAAUACGUG